AAAAUUUAACAACGACAAAUAUUUAAAUAAUUAACAUAUGGAAGUAUAGUAUUACAACAUUAAAUUAUAUCUAUUUAAUUUAUACUAUCUAUAAAUCCAAUAGAUCAUCUAUUGUUUAAAUCCACCACCACUUCUAUACUUAGAUAAACAAUUAUGUGUUUGCAAUGGUUUAUUAGAUAAAUUUCUAUCAAACAAGUUUAUAUUAUAUGGGCUUUACAUUAAAUAUUAAACAUAGUUUUUGAAGUUAUAUAAAAAUUUCACAUUUAUAAUUAAUAAUUUCACAUUUACAAUUAAUAAACAUAAACAUAAAUUAGAUAUGAAUGUAAUAGAUGAUAUCAAUACACCCUGUCUUAGUUUAAAUAAUAUUACAAUUCAUUUAAAUAUUUUAAUAAUUUUAUAAGUCAAUGUACAAAUUAAUUUUACUAAAAAUAAUUUUAAAGUUAAUUUCUUACUGUAUUUUUCAGUAAAAAAAUUAAUUAUUUCACAAUACUAACAUUUUGUAUAGACGAAAAAUUAACGUAAAACAUAAAAACAAAUGCUAACAAAAAUCAUUAAGACACUUGAUAUAUAUUUUAUGUAUAAACACAUUUGUUAUAAUAAUAAAUAUGUCAAAGAAAACAAACACGCGUUUUGAAAGUGCGGGUCAAAAUCUAGUUAAUUAUAUUUGAACUGAAUUCCUAUUUUACGUCAGGAAAAUAUACAUGUACUAUAUCAUGAAAGUGAAUCAACACAAUAAUAGCACAAGGUUUUCUCCAAUGAAUGACACAUCAGAUUUUUAGAAUCUUGUGAGACUGCCACGUCAAUAAAUAAAAAAAGUUGAAAGACCAAUAAAAACAUUUCAGUUGUACAUGUCAAUGUAUACCUAAGCUUCUCUAAUUUUCCAAUUGUGUUCGUCAUUAUGUUUAUAUCGUCACCGCAAAUACACAAAAACCCAUUGUCGUUAGAAUCAUGUUGUCCGUGUUAGGUUUUCACAAGACAAAGUGAGAAUCAAAUGGCUAUUUGCAGCUGAAAUAUUAUCCUGUUCAUGAUUGAAGAUGGAACUCGUGGGUUUUGUAGAUCCAGAAGGAUCAAUAUCUCUGGCAUUUGCUUCGUGUCCUGUUAUAGUUUUUGGUAAGGUGGUUGUUUUUAGAUUAACUACGUUAAUGAAAUCAUUAUAAGGUUCACGUACCAAAUAGUUACCAGAAGUCUGAGUCUAAAGGUGACUCCUUUAUUAGGUUUUUAUGUGAAAAAGAAUAUAUUUUGUUUGUGGUUGUGUUUUGGUUUUACAUUUAGUAUCAGUAAGGAUGAUGUCUAUUUGUGUGAGAAAGAUUUAGCUGUUAGGGAAAAGCUUUUGGCUUUGUAUCGGUUUAGCGAUUACUCUUCUUUUAAUUAAUAAGAUGAGUUUUUGCUUUACGGAGGAAAGUGACACACUGACUUUUGUUUAUGAAUUGUUGAACUUUUUACUCAACAAGAUAAUUGAUCAACAAGAUGUUAGUAAUCUAUAUGUUGCAUGACCUGAAACGUUUCUUGCUCCACCGAGAUGAUUUACCAGUAUGCGAUAGCAUCAAUUUCAUUAUUUUUGUUUCGAUAUCUGUGUUUAUGAACUGAAGGAUUCUAAUAAGCUUAACAUAUGUUCUUUGCUGCAACACAGAAGGUUCAGAAAAGAAUGAACAUGAGAACAUGGAGAUAUGUUAAUGAAUUAUUUUUGGUUUGAUAAGUUUAAUGAAUUGUUUCCAAAAUUAGUUGAUUCCUCUGCUGGCUCUUGCUGUGUAUUUUCUACUUUCUCAUUUGGCACCGGAGACCAGCAAUAGAUUAGUUUCAAGGAGUUGAAGAUGCUUCCUCUGAGCCCUGCUUCAAUUAUGUUCAGUUUUUAUUUGUUGUGGCAAGUAAAACCUUCAACUUAUUUGAAUCUCUCACUCCCACAAGGAUCUCUUUCAAUAAGAUAUUUCAGUUCUUACUA